CUUUUAAACAUUGUCAUUGUGUUAGUAGUUUAAAUAGAGAUUUAAAUCUUAUUUUUAUUAGAAAAGUUAUCACAGUGGCAUAUUGUUAUCAUGAUGAUGCUAUUUAUAACAAAUUCAAAGUGAAUACAAAGGCAACAGUAGUAUACGUGUGUUCUCAAGUCAUAAAUCAAUUGAGAGAAAACAAAUCCGGGUUACAAACUAAAACGGAAUGAAACUCAUCAACUAUAAGAGGAAAACAAAGGAACUCAUUGUAAUAGAAACCUAUUCUUUAACUUUAUAAUUGUAUUAUGAAAUAUAUGUAACAUGUGAUAUUUGAAAUAGCAGCUAGCCAGAUCUAAAUGUUUAUCAAGUUGAAUAAAUUUUAUUUAGACCUUCAACUCAAGUUCAUUUCACAAGCAUUUUAAACUAAUUUAUAAAGGCAACAGUAGCAUACCGCUGUUCAAAAUUCAUUACUCGAUCAAAAGAAAUCAAAUCCAUGUUACAAACAAAAACCUAGGAAAACCCAUCAAGUAUAAGAG
rnacentral:lncRNA from 1 species